AAGCAAAGACGGCCUAAUCUCGGCGGAUGCCGGGAGCGGGGGACCCGAUCUUUUGGGGCUAAUCCCGACGAUAGGCGUCGGGAGGGAUGAGUCAGACGCAUUCCCUGCCAUCCUGCCCGUCAGCUAACCCCGUCGGCUAAUGCAGGGAAGUCUC
rnacentral:sRNA from 2 species